CAGCAGCCGCGGGUAAUACGUAGGGGGCGAGCGUUGUCCGGAAUCAUUGGGCGUAAAGAGCGUGUAGGCGGCCCGGUAAGUCCGCUGUGAAAACCCGGGGCUCAACCCCGGGCGUGCAGUGGAAACUGCUGGGCUAGAGGGCGGCAGAGGCGAGUGGAAUUCCCGGUGUAGCGGUGAAAUGCGCAGAUAUCGGGAGGAACACCGGUAGCGAAGGCGGCUCGCUGGGCCGUUCCUGACGCUGAGACGCGAAAGCUAGGGGAGCGAACAGGAUUAGAUACCCUGGUAGUCCUAGCCGUAAACGAUGGGCACUAGGUGUGGGGGGAGUCGAAUCCCUCCGUGCCGCAGCCAACGCGUUAAGUGCCCCGCCUGGGGAGUACGGCCGCAAGGCUAAAACUCAAAUGAAUUGACGG
rnacentral:rRNA from 1 species